rnacentral:rRNA from 1 species
UACGUAGGGCGCAAGCGUUGUCCGGAAUUAUUGGGCGUAAAGAGCUCGUAGGCGGCUUGUCACGUCUGCUGUGAAAUCCCGGGGCUCAACCCCGGGCGUGCAGUGGAUACGGGCUGGCUAGAGGCAGGCAGGGGAGAACGGAAUUCCCGGUGUAGCGGUGAAAUGCGCAGAUAUCGGGAGGAACACCAGUGGCGAAGGCGGCGACCUGGGCAGAUACUGACGCUGAGGUGCGAAAGCGUGGGGAGCAAACAGG